rnacentral:rRNA from 1 species
UACGUAGGGUGCAAGCGUUAAUCGGAAUUACUGGGCGUAAAGCGUGCGCAGGCGGUUUUGUAAGUCUGUCGUGAAAUCCCCGAGCUUAACUUGGGAAUUGCGCUCGAAACUACGAUGCUCGAGUGUGGCAGAGGAAGGUGGAAUUCCACGUGUAGCGGUGAAAUGCGUAGAGAUGUGGAGGAACACCGAUGGCGAAGGCAGCCUUCUGGGCCAACACUGACGCUCAUGCACGAAAGCGUGGGGAGCAAACAGG